rnacentral:ribozyme from 1 species
CCAACAAAAUUUAAAUGAGAUCAGAAUGUUAUCUAAGUAUGGCCAUCCUAAUAUUGUUAAAUUUCAUUGUUGUUACACGGCAAAUAAUGAGUACUGGAUGGUUUCAGAGUUGAUGGAGGGGGGUACUUUGGAGGAAGCUAUGUGUGAGUAUGCUGAAAAACACAUUGCUUUUGCUGCACGGGAUAUUUUGCGUGCUUUGAAUCAUUUGCAUCAACACGGCAUUGUCCAUAGAGAUUUAAAAUCUCC